rnacentral:tmRNA from 1 species
GGGGGUGUCAUGGUUUCGACAAGGACAAGUUUGGUAUGAACGGCAAGUCGAGUGGUUACGUAAUAACCGACUAAACUUAAACGCAAAAACUAAAUUAGCUAACCUGUUUGGUGGAAACCAGGCAGUAGCUUUCGCUGCCUAAUCGCCUAAUAACUGGCUCGCAGCCGUUAGUUGAAGGAGUGUCUUUCGCCUUCUUCUGAUGUCAGAACAGAAAGAAUAAGCGUGCGAUCUCUCCUGCGUAUCGCAUGACGAAAACAAAGCGGGAAACCCGGCAUAUGCCUGUCUGUCGCUGUCUGCCGGAUCGAAAGUACAGACUAAGCUUGUAGAUGUUCAUACGUGGGACUGUUUUUGGACAGGAGUUCGACUCUCCUCACCUCCACCA